rnacentral:rRNA from 1 species
CCUACGGGAGGCAGCAGUGAGGAAUAUUGGUCAAUGGGCGUAAGCCUGAACCAGCCAAGUAGCGUGCGGGAUGAAGGUUCUAUGGAUCGUAAACCGCUUUUAUAAGGGAAUAAAGUGUGGGACGUGUCCUGUUUUGUAUGUACCUUAUGAAUAAGGAUCGGCUAACUCCGUGCCAGCAGCCGCGGUAAUACGGAGGCUCCGAGCGUUAUCCGGAUUUAUUGGGUUUAAAGGGUGCGUAGGCGGCCUUUUAAGUCAGCGGUGAAAGUCUGUGGCUCAACCAUAGACUUGCCGUUGAAACUGGGAGGCUUGAGUAUGUUUGAGGCAGGCGGAAUGCGUGGUGUAGCGGUGAAAUGCUUAGAUAUCACGCAGAACCCCGAUUGCGAAGGCAGCCUGCCAAGCCAUGACUGACGCUGAUGCACGAAAGCGUGGGGAUCAAACAGGAUUAGAUACCCGUGUAGUC